AAAAUGACCCAUCACUUUGCAUUAUUAGGCUGGCCAAAAAAAUGUAAACAGUAGGAAGCCGGAUGAUGUUCAGUGUUUGCGGACGCGCGGACACAGGACGGAGGACACAGGACCCAGUGAUGGAGGCCGCCUCAGUCCUGUUCGCGUUUGAACAUCUUUGGCCAAUCCAAGGCCUCUGCACAAGGACCGGAUGUGUGAGAAGAGUCUGCCUGGCAGCCAGAGGACGGUCAUCCUGUUGCCGUAUUACUGAGAGCCUUCCCUGUAGUACAUGGUCUCUGGUGGGCUUUCAGUGUCUUUCAGGGACAUCCCAAGUGGCGCUGUAAUGAGGCAGCAGUGGCCCCACAGGCCAUUUCCGCCAACACCCGCACAACAAGCCAACCUGGUUGUGAUUCACUCUGAGUCCUUUCCUCAUGCUGGUUAUUGGUAGGAGCCCCCCAAGAAGCAUGGGAACUAUCAGGAGAGGCAGCACAGGCUCUGCUGGUACCUGAUUCUCGAUACCAACCUAGAGGCCAUGAGAAGUGAGGGGAAGGUCCUGAGGAGGACAAACAUCAUUGUUCAAGGCAUCCAC